UAAGUUUGAUGGCGACCGGCGCACGGGUGAGUAACACGUAUCCAACCUGCCGAUGACUCGGGGAUAGCCUUUCGNNNGNNNGAUUNNUNCCCGAUGGCAUAGUUCUUCCGCAUGGUNGNNCUNUUNNNGNNUUUCGGUCNUCGNUGGGGAUGCGUUCCCUUNGGUUGUUGGCGGGGUNNCGGCCCNCCNNGCCUUCGNUGGNUNGGGGUUCUGNGNGGNNGGUCCCCCNCCUUGGNNCUGNGNCNCGGUCCNNNCUCCUNCGGGNGGCNGCCGUGNGGNNUNUUGGUCAAAGGACGGGAGUUUGAACCCACCCAAGUAGCGGGAAGGAGGACUUCCCUAUGGGUUGUAAACUUUUUUUUUUCCGGGAAUAAGUGGAGGCCCGCGUGCCUUUUUGUAUGUUCCGUUAUGAUAAAGAUCCGGCUAACUCCGGGCCCAGCAGCCGCGGUAAUCCGGAGGAUUCCGAGCGUAUCCCGGAUUUAUGGGUUUAAGGGGAGCGUAGGCCGACGCUUAAGUCAGUUGGGANGGUUUGCGGCUCACCGGUAAAAUGCCAGUUGAUACUGGGUGUUCUGGAGUACAGUAGAGGCAGGCGGAAAUUCGUGGUGUAGCGGUGAAAUGCUUAGAUAUCACGAAGAACUCCGAUUGCGAAGGCAGCUUGCUGGACUGUAACUGACGCUGAUGCUCGAAAGUGUGGGUAUCAAACAGGAUUAGAUACCCUGGUAGUCCACACAGUAAACGAUGAAUACUCGCUGUUUGCGAUAUACAGUAAGCGGCCAAGCGAAAGCGUUAAGUAUUCCACCUGGGGAGUACGCCGGCAACGGUGAAACUCAAAGGAAUUGACGGGGGCCCGCACAAGCGGAGGAACAUGUGGUUUAAUUCGAAGCAACGCGAAGAACCUUACCAAGCCUUGACAUCCCAUUGACAGAGCAUGUAAUGUGCUUUCCUUUCGGGGCAGUGGUGACAGGUGGUGCAUGGUUGUCGUCAGCUCGUGUCGUGAGAUGUUGGGUUAAGUCCCGCAACGAGCGCAACCCCUAUCUUCGGUAGCCAGCGGUUCGGCCGGGCACUCUGGAGAGACUGCCAGGGAUAACCUGGAGGAAGGUGGGGAUGACGUCAAAUCAUCAUGCCCCUUAUGACCAGGGCUACACACGUGCUACAAUGGCGUAAACAAAGAGAAGCAAACUCGCGAGGGUAAGCAAAUCUCAAAAAUAACGUCUCAGUUCGGAUUGUAGUCUGCAACUCGACUACAUGAAGCUGGAAUCGCUAGUAAUCGCAGAUCAGAAUGCUGCGGUGAAUACGUUCCCGGGUCUUGCACUCACCGCCCGUCAAG
rnacentral:rRNA from 1 species